GUAGGGAAUAUUGGGCAAUGGAUGCAAGUCUGACCCAGCCAUCCCGCGUGCCGGAAGAAGGCCCUCAGGGUUGUAAACGGCUUUUGACGGUGAAGAAUCGACAGGAUGCGUCCUGUUUUGACGGUAGCCGUUGAAUAAGCACCGGCUAACUCCGUGCCAGCAGCCGCGGUAAUACGGAGGGUGCGAGCGUUGUCCGGAUUUAUUGGGUUUAAAGGGUGCGUAGGCUGGAAGGUCAGUCAGCGGUGAAAAGCUGUCGCUUAACGAUAGUCUUGCCGCAGAUACUUCCUUUCUUGGAUGAGGAGGAGGCCACUGGAACGGAUGGUGUAGCGGUGAAAUGCAUAGAUAUCAUCCAGAACACCGAUUGCGAAGGCAGGUGGCUGUACCUUAAUCGACGCUGAUGCAUGAAAGCAUGGGGAGCAAACAGGAUUAGAAACCCUAGUAGUCC
rnacentral:rRNA from 1 species